UAGCCGCAAUAUUCUGUGCUAAGGUAGCAUAAUCAUUAGUUCACUAAUUAUGAAAUAGAAUGAAUGAUCCCACGAAUAAAUUAACUUUUUUACUAUUUCAAAAAAAAUUCAUUUUAUAGUCAAAAAGCUAUAUUUUCCCAGAAGGACAACAAGACCCUGACGAACUUCUCACUAAAAGUUUAACUGGGGCGGUAUACAAGAACAUCUUCUUAACAUUUCACCAACAUCCAAAAAAUUUGACCUUUCCAAGUUACCGCAGGGAUAACAGCAUAAUAAUUUUCCAAAGUUCAUAUACAAAAAAAUUCUUAUGACCUCGAUGUUGAAUUAAAUCCCUAAUCUAAGCAAGAUUAGAUACCCCUUAGGAAGUCUGUUCGACUUUUAAUUUUUUACAUGAU
rnacentral:rRNA from 1 species